rnacentral:lncRNA from 1 species
ACCAAGUUUGAGAUUUCAAAAGAGAUGCCAACAGCUGGAUGUAACUGGUCUUUUUGGGGCUAGAAAAGCUUCAGAAGGUUAGAGGUGGGUCUCUCCCUCCCUGAUACUGGGAGGAGUAGAAGCAGACUGACUUCCUCUCAAGCAUGGGUAGAGGGCUGACAGCUUAUCACUCUCUUGGAAACUCAGCAGCUCAGAAGGCUCUCAGGUAAGCUGUGGAGAAUGAGAACACAUGGGAGGUGACCACUGUGAGAAGUGUAGCCAGAGCACCUGAGAAGCCUGCUUAGUACCACAGGGCUACAGUUCCUCAGAGCUACAGGAGCACACCUAGGGGAAGAGGCAGGCACAGUACAAUGGAUGCUUUCUGGUACUAAAAAUCUUGUUUCAAGUUGGAAAAGUUAGUACCUGAUGAUUAAAGGAGAUGGGAAUGAUUUAGAAGUAAACUAGUGGCUUCAUAAGUCAGUGGGACAAAGAAGCUCAACUAUAGAAAUAGAAGCUAUUGUCAAAUACAAUUGCUUACUUCAUGUUAGCAAAACUGGCAGGAGAUGGAUUAGGGUAUGAAUUAUUCUACCCAUUUUAUGAACAGGAGAAUUGAGGCUCUUGUUAAAGGAAAUAGUUGAUGGCAACAAUGGUUUACCCCUCUAUGAGUAUGAGUCCUUGUGGUUUCACUGUAGGCAGUGUGUCACUCAUCUUUCCCCUCUGAGUCUGUUAAAGUAACUUCCUUUGGACAUUAAAUGGGGUGAAGUAUAAGAGAACGGAAUCUGACUCUGGGUCUCAAGGGGCUGCAUGGAUUUACACAUUGCCUUCUUCUACAGUGGCUGUGGCUAUGAGAAGAGUUAAUUGGUGCACUCUCAGCCUGGGCACUGGGUAAGUGCACGAGGAACGCACUCCCCCCAUCUCUCUCAAGUACUUCUAGGCCUACCGCAGGAGGCUGAGCUGCCUCUGCUGACCAACCACUGAUUUCUUGGAGCAAGAGACUGUUGUUUCUCAGCAUUAAGAUGGUGUGGGUUAUGUUAUGUGGAGUUAUUAAGGCAAUAUGAAGGGGUGAUUUUGGAGAGUUUAUGUUAUCUACACUUCAAUUUUCAUGUGCAAGAGAAUCACCCUAGGUUCCUGUUAAAACACCAGUUCAUAGAACCCUAGGAGAUUCUGUCUACUUAAGUUCAGAGAAAGUUAAGUCUUUACAGUUAUGGGACAGCCUGUUUGCUUAUUUCAUAGAGAAUGGGCAAAGCUCUGUAAUUUGCCACAUACUCACCUGUGACUGGUGGGCAUGGCAGGCAUUUACAGAUCCAGGGCUCUUGGCUCCCAGAGAACAACUCUUUCUUCCUCUGUAGCCCAGAGGCAGCACGUGGAACACCAGUGUGGGAGAGGCAGCCUGUGAGUAUUGAGGCUUAGCUGAGUCUGCGUGCUGUGAAUGGCAUAGUUCUAAUCUAGCAAAUUGUUCGAGGAGCUUGGUUAAUGCUGUCCUCACAGCUGCAGCUGCUUGAAGGGAGCGGCUCCUCCCUGCAUGUGCACUCAGGCUCGCACACGCACAUGUGCAAGGGCACUUUUCCUUCUGUAAGGCUCAAAUUGGCCUCCUUGUUCCGACUCAAAGCAGCUGUUUAUUUGUUGUUCUUGUGUUUUCAACUGUUGUGAUGAGGUUUGCUUCCCUCUUCUUUAACUGAAUUACGUGCAGUUUAGCUCUUCAGUGCAAGCUGCUGAUUGAGCUGGAUCCUUCUGUCGUGUAGGCUUCAGGUUCCUCCUUAUCCGACAGGAACUGCACAGACGAGGGCUACUUGGGUUCAGAGGCACCGACAAGGAAAGGAGAGAGACACAGCCACUUCUGCUGUUCCCCUUCAUCUGUCUGUGGAGAUGCAACUCUAAAUGAGCCAGGCAGGCAGCUGGGGUUGCAUGGCCUACAGGAACACAUCCUUUCCCCCUAAAAUGUCUCUAGACCCUCAGCGAGUGGUUGGAAGUUCAAGCAUCGAGAUCUAUCCAGUUUGUCUUAGUUUACUUUUGGCUGAUGCCACCGAGGUGACUUAUUGUAGCUGAAUGGAAUUUUUGGGAACUCCCUCAUAAACAGAAAAUAUAGGGUGUUGAGAUUCUGGUAGCAUAGACUAAAUAUCUCAGACUUUUCCUUCACUCUCUUGGGCCUUAAGUUCAGACAGAGGUCUCAAAGGGUCCAGAGAAGUUGUGCCACUCAAGAGUUUAUUUCAUCUUCGUGUUGCUAAACGCUGGCCUUUGGUCCUGUUUCUGCCUCCCAACAGGAUAGAACCAAGACUACUUUCUACCAUGGAAUGUGGCUGUAGAGGCAUAUAUGUUGAUUCGUUAGGAGAGUGCCCAUUGUGUGAUCACCAGCAAUUGCUUCCCUUUGCUGACACUGAGACUUUUAAACAUCGAAAUGAGCCCGGUGAAACUUGCUAGCUGUAAUUCUCUAACCCCAAAUGUACGUAAUUGGCAUUCACAUCAAUUUCUCAUCUUCAUUUCUUCUUCGUAGUCCUGCAGUGUCAGUUUGGUAUCGUUGUGAGGAAGAACUUGACUUUAAGGUACAUCAGGCACAGUGAUGAGUUUAAUGAAGUUUAAACAGACUCCAAGAGAGCGCUGCCCCGCAAACCUGAACUUCACUAGGCAGUAGUGUACCUUGGAUCAGGAGAUCAAGACAGCAUUGUGUAGGCCAACCACCAGAGCAGGUGUGAGUAGGGGGCAAGCCGGUCACAGAGCUCAAAAAAACCAGGGGGGGGGGGCCAAAAUAUGGCAGGUGGGAGCAGUUAUUGUUGGUCACACAGAAAGCUGUCUCUCAAGGAAGCAGUGUGUAUCCCUCUUACCUAUUACACAGGGUGGAGGUAAUCUAGAUCUAUCCUAUUGGGAGUCAGGAAGACAGGAACAGGACCAAAGCCUAGAAUCAAAGAACAGCCCACAAGGUUAGCAGGUGAAUACUCACACACCUGGUGCCAUCUCUCAGGGAGGCCAGAGAGCUGUGGGACAGGACCUGCAAUGUGGACUGGGGCUUCCAAAUCUGUACGUGAGUAUAUGGGGGUACCAGAGUUAGAGAGAGUAGAUGCUGAGCUUGGGAAAGAGGCAUGAGUUCAUGAAGAAUGAGGCAAUCAGGGCUGUCAGGGAUGGUGGGAUGAGGGCUUGGCGGGAGGGUGGGUUUGGUGGGAUGGAGGGAUGGCGGGAUGGUGUGUGUGGGGUCUGCAGGUGGUCCUCCCUCUAAGCUGUACAUUACCUGUGGGGACCUUCAUAUACCCUGCAUACUACAUAUUCUGAAAUAGGACUGAAUUCUUUUUUUUUUCCCCAGGCAAAGUGAGAGUCCCACUGAUGCUCACAAGGGAUGCUGAAGGGACAGUCUGCAAAGCAGUGGUUAUUUUCUUCUCUGACUCCUGACAGGGUAUCAGCAGGACAGUGAUGUAUCCUGUUAGCAGCUAAGAGCCUCAGUUCCUGCCUCCAGAACCCCUACCAAGUAAACC